rnacentral:lncRNA from 1 species
CUGCAAUAGUGUAACUAUGGCUUAAAUCUAUCAAUAGGAAAGGGAGACACUUAAAAAUGUAGUAUGGAGUAAGUUGAAUUGUGAAAUUAAAGUUUAGUAUUUUAUUACUGAAUAAUUUUGUGUUGGAUACUUUUGUUUCACUUACUCCUAUGCAGUUUGAAGAAACACAGAUAUAAGAAAUUCUGACCUGGCAUGCACUGGGUGAUGUUUGAUCCACUUCACUUUCUCUGAUGACUUGAUGGAAAAUGAUGGGAAUCCAGCAGGAGAAGAGAGAAUGGCUGUGCUGGGUAUGAUGCAAACAAAUUAUUCAGGCCAGGCUAUAUGGGGUUGUCCAGCCCCUUCCCAGAAGGAGAGGAAGCAGGCAGGACUGGAAAAGAACUGGCUUCAAGCCUGAAACACAUAACACAUUCCAGAAAUGUCUGUGUGAGAGAGAAGAAGAAGAAUGCCAAGUCUGCUGAUGAAUAAAAGACUUUGUGAUGAAUCUUGUAAAAUUGGA